rnacentral:rRNA from 1 species
AGCGCAUACGGUGGAUGCCUUGGCAGUCAGAGGCGAUGAAAGACGUGGUAGCCUGCGAAAAGCUUCGGGGAGUCGGCAAACAGACUUUGAUCCGGAGAUCUCUGAAUGGGGGAACCCACCUAGGAUAACCUAGGUAUCUUGUACUGAAUCCAUAGGUGCAAGAGGCGAACCAGGGGAACUGAAACAUCUAAGUACCCUGAGGAAAAGAAAUCAACCGAGAUUCCCUUAGUAGUGGCGAGCGAACGGGGAUUAGCCCUUAAGCUUCAUUGAUUUUAGCGGAACGCUCUGGAAAGUGCGGCCAUAGUGGGUGAUAGCCCCGUACGCGAAAGGAUCUUUGAAGUGAAAUCGAGUAGGACGGAGCACGAGAAACUUUGUCUGAACAUGGGGGGACCAUCCUCCAAGGCUAAAUACUACUGACUGACCGAUAGUGAACCAGUACCGUGAGGGAAAGGCGAAAAGAACCCCGGAGAGGGGAGUGAAAUAGAACCUGAAACCGUAUGCGUACAAGCAGUGGGAGCCUACUUGUUAGGUGACUGCGUACCUUUUGUAUAAUGGGUCAGCGACUUAUAUUCAGUGGCAAGCUUAACCGUAUAGGGUAGGCGUAGCGAAAGCGAGUCUUAAUAGGGCGUUUAGUCGCUGGGUAUAGACCCGAAACCGGGCGAUCUAUCCAUGAGCAGGUUGAAGGUUAGGUAACACUGACUGGAGGACCGAACCCACUCCCGUUGAAAAGGUAGGGGAUGACUUGUGGAUCGGAGUGAAAGGCUAAUCAAGCUCGGAGAUAGCUGGUUCUCCUCGAAAGCUAUUUAGGUAGCGCCUCAUGUAUCACUCUGGGGGGUAGAGCACUGUUUCGGCUAGGGGGUCAUCCCGACUUACCAAACCGAUGCAAACUCCGAAUACCCAGAAGUGCCGAGCAUGGGAGACACACGGCGGGUGCUAACGUCCGUCGUGAAAAGGGAAACAACCCAGACCGCCAGCUAAGGUCCCAAAGUUGUGGUUAAGUGGUAAACGAUGUGGGAAGGCUUAGACAGCUAGGAGGUUGGCUUAGAAGCAGCCAUCCUUUAAAGAAAGCGUAAUAGCUCACUAGUCGAGUCGGCCUGCGCGGAAGAUGUAACGGGGCUCAAACCACACACCGAAGCUGCGGGUGUCACGUAAGUGACGCGGUAGAGGAGCGUUCUGUAAGCCUGUGAAGGUGAGUUGAGAAGCUUGCUGGAGGUAUCAGAAGUGCGAAUGCUGACAUGAGUAACGACAAUGGGUGUGAAAAACACCCACGCCGAAAGACCAAGGGUUCCUGCGCAACGUUAAUCGACGCAGGGUUAGUCGGUUCCUAAGGCGAGGCUGAAAAGCGUAGUCGAUGGGAAACAGGUUAAUAUUCCUGUACUUCUGGUUACUGCGAUGGAGGGACGGAGAAGGCUAGGCCAGCUUGGCGUUGGUUGUCCAAGUUUAAGGUGGUAGGCUGAAAUCUUAGGUAAAUCCGGGGUUUCAAGGCCGAGAUCUGAUGACGAGUCGUCUUUUAGAUGACGAAGUGGUUGAUGCCAUGCUUCCAAGAAAAGCUUCUAAGCUUCAGGUAACCAGGAACCGUACCCCAAACCGACACAGGUGGUCGGGUAGAGAAUACCAAGGCGCUUGAGAGAACUCGGGUGAAGGAACUAGGCAAAAUGGCACCGUAACUUCGGGAGAAGGUGCGCCGGCUAGGGUGAAGGAUUUACUCCGUAAGCUCUGGCUGGUCGAAGAUACCAGGCCGCUGCGACUGUUUAUUAAAAACACAGCACUCUGCAAACACGAAAGUGGACGUAUAGGGUGUGACGCCUGCCCGGUGCCGGAAGGUUAAUUGAUGGGGUUAGCGCAAGCGAAGCUCUUGAUCGAAGCCCCGGUAAACGGCGGCCGUAACUAUAACGGUCCUAAGGUAGCGAAAUUCCUUGUCGGGUAAGUUCCGACCUGCACGAAUGGCGUAACGAUGGCGGCGCUGUCUCCACCCGAGACUCAGUGAAAUUGAAAUCGCUGUGAAGAUGCAGUGUAUCCGCGGCUAGACGGAAAGACCCCGUGAACCUUUACUGUAGCUUUGCACUGGACUUUGAGCCUGCUUGUGUAGGAUAGGUGGGAGGCUUUGAAGCGUGGACGCCAGUUCGCGUGGAGCCAUCCUUGAAAUACCACCCUGGCAUGCUUGAGGUUCUAACUCUGGUCCGUGAUCCGGAUCGAGGACAGUGUAUGGUGGGCAGUUUGACUGGGGCGGUCUCCUCCUAAAGAGUAACGGAGGAGUACGAAGGUGCGCUCAGACCGGUCGGAAAUCGGUCGCAGAGUAUAAAGGCAAAAGCGCGCUUGACUGCGAGACAGACACGUCGAGCAGGUACGAAAGUAGGUCUUAGUGAUCCGGUGGUUCUGUAUGGAAGGGCCAUCGCUCAACGGAUAAAAGGUACUCCGGGGAUAACAGGCUGAUACCGCCCAAGAGUUCAUAUCGACGGCGGUGUUUGGCACCUCGAUGUCGGCUCAUCACAUCCUGGGGCUGAAGCCGGUCCCAAGGGUAUGGCUGUUCGCCAUUUAAAGUGGUACGCGAGCUGGGUUUAGAACGUCGUGAGACAGUUCGGUCCCUAUCUGCCGUGGACGUUUGAGAUUUGAGAGGGGCUGCUCCUAGUACGAGAGGACCGGAGUGGACGAACCUCUGGUGUUCCGGUUGUCACGCCAGUGGCAUUGCCGGGUAGCUAUGUUCGGAAAAGAUAACCGCUGAAAGCAUCUAAGCGGGAAACUUGCCUCAAGAUGAGAUCUCACUGGGAACUUGAUUCCCCUGAAGGGCCGUCGAAGACUACGACGUUGAUAGGCUGGGUGUGUAAGCGUUGU